rnacentral:SRP_RNA from 1 species
GACGAGUCAUUAAAACAUUAUAAAAAUAACAAACCUGGUCAGGUCGGGAACGAAGCAGCCAUAGUUAUUAUUUAUAAGUGUUAAAAUUUUUGACUCGUCUAU